ACUCAUGAGUAAACACUAACACAAACUUCACCCACAUUUCUUUUCUUUCGCAGUCUCGAGCGAGACUUUCACUUUAACUUUGAGAUUUAAAGUGUGCCUCCCUUCCAACUGAAACGGUGUACUCACGUAACAAGGCACUUCACCAGGACACGGGCAUGCAAGAGAAGAAUGUAAAGCGGCUAAGUUGCAAAGUAACCAUUCAGGCGUUCAAUUCGCCGGGUAGCGAAGGCAUGAGCAGGGACACGGUCACCUCUGAAGAGUUCAUGAGCUCAAGUUUUCUUAUUCCAAACUGCUUGAAUAGUGCCCAGGGACAGGUCUCCUCUCUCCAACCUGCAAGACCCUUUACAACCACCCCGGUGUUCAGAACCCAUUUUGCCCAUCUUGUUUUCCUGGAGUCCGCCAGUGCAGGAAACUGGAAAAUGACAUUUAUUCAAUACCUUUCAGGAUCCUGCAUUAUGCUUACCCAGCGUUCCUCCUCUGAGUUAAGUUAAACCAUCACGGCCUGAUGCAUAAAUAGGUUUUUUAAAAAGGCUCCCCCCUGCACUGGGAAAAGAGAGGAGACAGGGAGGUGCCGAGACUGCUCUGCCACGUCAUCACCCUCUGUUUCAUGUUUCUUUGUGGAGGAGUACAAAAGUACUACUAGACUGCAAAAUAUGUAAAUCCAAGUCUGAAAGUUUGAAAGCAGUAAAGUUGCAUCGUUCCAUAGUUCAUAUCAUUUUAUGGAAAAUAAAAUUAUUCUUCCAAAUACA